UACGUAGGGGGCGAGCGUUGUCCGGAGUUACUGGGCGUAAAGGGCAUGCAGGCGGUCGGACGCGUUUCGGGUGACAGCGGGUGGCUUAACUACCCGAGUGGUCGAAAGACGGUUUGACUUGAGGACUCGAGAGGGACACGGAAUUCCGGGUGGAGUGGUGAAAUGCGUAGAGAUCCGGAGGAACACCGAAGGCGAAGGCAGUGUCCUGGCGAGUGACUGACGCUGAGGUGCGAAAGCCAGGGGAGCGAACGGG
rnacentral:rRNA from 1 species